rnacentral:rRNA from 1 species
GAUGAACGCUGGCGGCGUGCUUAACACAUGCAAGUCGAACGGUGAACGAGGGAGCUUGCUCCCUCCGGAUCAGUGGCGAACGGGUGAGUAACACGUGAGCAAUCUGCCCUGGACUCUGGGAUAAGCGUUGGAAACGACGUCUAAUACCGGAUACGAGGCGUGGGGGCAUCCCCAACGCCUGGAAAGAACUUCGGUCCAGGAUGAGCUCGGGGCCUAUCAGCUAGUUGGUGAGGUAACGGCUCACCAAGGCGACGACGGGUAGCCGGCCUGGGAGGGUGACCGGCCACACUGGGACUGCGACACGGCCCAGACUCCUACGGGAGGCAGCAGUGGGGAAUAUUGCACAAUGGGCGCAAGCCUGAUGCAGCAACGCCGCGUGAGGGACGACGGCCUUCGGGUUGUAAACCUCUUUUAGCAGGGAAGAAGCGAAAGUGACGGUACCUGCAGAAAAAGCACCGGCUAACUACGUGCCAGCCGCCGCGGUAAAAC